rnacentral:rRNA from 1 species
AGCGAACGCUGGCGGCAUGCCUAACACAUGCAAGUCGCACGGGGGGGCUUCGGCCUCCCAGUGGCGGACGGGUGAGGAACGCGUAGGGACCUGUCGAGGGGUGGGGGAUAACCGCGGGAAACUGCGGCUAAUACCGCAUGACGCCGCGGCGUGACAGCCGGGGCCAAAGGCGAAAGCCGCCCGCCGAGGGGCCUGCGUCCGAUUAGCUGGUUGGCGGGGUAGCGGCCCACCAAGGCGUCGAUCGGUAGCUGGUCUGAGAGGGUGAUCAGCCACACCGGGAAUGAGACAAGGCACGGACGCCUGCGGGAGGCAGCAGUGGGGAAUAGGGGACGAAGGGCGCAAGCCUGAUACAGCAAUGCCGCGUGGGGGAAGAAGGUGUUCGGAGUGGAAAGCCCGUUCGGCGGGGACGAUGGUGAGGGUACGCGCAGAAGAAGCCCCGGCUAGCUUCGU